AAACUGCCUAAGGAAACCUUGCCACGCAGACAUUCGUUUCCUCUGGCUUACCUCUACUCUCUCUCUCUCUCAUUGUUUCUCACUGUUGCUGGUUAAUCGCUUCAGGAGCUAAGGGGGGAAAUGGCGAUGGGGAUAAGGGUGGAGAUAAACAGAGGUUACUACACUUGGCAUGUGGAUACCACCCAAGCAGCCUGUGCAGGGGUUGGAGGCUCAAGCAAAAUAUUUGAUGGGUCUGAAUGAAAAUCUGAUGAAACAGAUGUUACUUGAAGCUGAGUGACUUUCUCAGGGUCAAGCAAAUAAGUAAAUGGAGGAGCCAGAAUUAUACCCCAGCUCAUUGCUUACCUUCUGACUCAGCUCUGAAAAACUAGCUCCACAUUUUUAACGCUGCCAAGAGCUCCCUUCUCUGUGGAUUCAUCUAAGACAACAGAUAUUAACACUAGGAUUGUGAUGGCAGUGGAGUCAGUACCAACUGACCCAAGUAUUCCUAGCCUGUGGAAUCUUUAGACUCACUUAAUUCAUUCAACAUAUACUUAUUAAGUGCCUACUGUGUCAUGAACUUCAGGGAUAUGAAAUUCUGCAAGAUAGUCUCUGCUUUUCAGUACCAGGAGCCCCAGAUAUUAUACUUAAUGUUUCAAAUAGUGGAUUCUGGGUUGCUUGAAAGUCAGUAGGCAGCCUUUUUGUCAUUAAAUUUCCUUUAUUGCUCUGAUGCAUUUUAUUUUAUAGUGACUCUGACUACUUCAGAUUGUUCACAAUAUUUUAAAACUUACGUUAUUAAGAUUGCUCAAUUCUG
rnacentral:lncRNA from 10 species